UACAGAGGUCUCAAGCGUUGUUCGGAAUUACUGGGCGUAAAGGGCUCGUAGGCGGCCAACUAAGUCCGACGUGAAAUCCCAAGGCUUAACCUUGGAACUGCGUCGGAUACUGGAUGGCUUGAAUUCGGGAGAGGGAUGCAGAAUUCCAGGUGUAGCGGUGAAAUGCGUAGAUAUCUGGAGGAAUACCGGUGGCGAAGGCGGCAUCCUGGACCGACAUUGACGCUGAUGAGCGAAAGCUAGGGGAGCAAACGGG
rnacentral:rRNA from 1 species